UACAUGUGGGGCAAGCGUUGUUCGGAAUUACUGGGCGUAAAGCGUGCGCAGGCGGUUCGUUGUGUCGGUGGUGAAAUCCCCGGGCUUAACCUGGGAAUGGCCAUGGAAACUGGCGAACUGGAGUGUGGCAGAGGGGGGUGGAAUUCCGCGUGUAGCAGUGAAAUGCGUAGAGAUGCGGAGGAACACCGAUGGCGAAGGCAGCCCCCUGGGCUAGCACUGACGCUCAGGCACGAAAGCGUGGGGAGCAAACAGG
rnacentral:rRNA from 1 species